GACGAACGCUGGCGGCGUGCUUAACACAUGCAAGUCGAACGAUGAAGAAGAGCUUGCUCUUCGGAUUAGUGGCGAACGGGUGAGUAACACGUGACUAACCUGCCCCUUUCUCUGGGAUAACGCUCCGAAAGGAGUGCUAAUACCGGAUACUCACAUCGAGGCACAUGCCUUGAUGUGGAAAGUUUUUCGGAAAGGGAUGAAGUCGCGGCCUAUCAGCUUGUUGGUGAGGUAACGGCUCACCAAGGCGACGACGGGUAGCCGGCCUGAGAGGGCGACCGGCCACACUGGGACUGAGACACGGCCCAGACUCCUACGGGAGGCAGCAGUGGGGAAUAUUGCACAAUGGGCGAAAGCCUGAUGCAGCGACGCCGCGUGAGGGAUGAAGGUCUUCGGAUUGUAAACCUCUUUCAGUAGGGACGAAGCGAAAGUGACGGUACCUAAAGAAGAAGCACCGGCUAACUACGUGCCAGCAGCCGCAGUAA
rnacentral:rRNA from 1 species